UCACCCAGGUGCAAGCCCAGAGGCAGUCUAUACCCCAACUCAACUGGCUGGUCCUCAAUGCUGCCUGCUUCCGUGCCCAACUUAGAACUACACAUCUGCUGCCUCUUGGUAACAUGUCAUUAUAAGUCUGAAGAUUGCCAUUUGAAAUGCUCUUUGAGGGAUGCGAAGUCAACCCUGGAUCCAAAGUAGCUUUGAUGUUUGUCAGGAAAAUGCUGGAAUUCUAUACACUACAGUUUCUACAGAGCAUGAAGAACUCCAACUUCAGACAACCUGCAAAAAAAGUCAGAGAGCAAUUAAAUAUAAAAAUAAAUUCCUUUGAUAAAACAAA
rnacentral:lncRNA from 1 species